AGUUUUAUAGUUUAUUUAAAAUAUUAAAUUGCAAAUUUAAAGAUAGAUAUCAAAUCUUAAAACUU
rnacentral:tRNA from 1 species